ACAAGGGGGACAGACUGAGUGAAGAGUGAGAGAGGAGUUAGGCAGGGCUGUAUAUUGUCACCAACCCUUUUUAGCCUGUAUACAGAGGAGCUAGCAGCCAGGAUGAGAAGAAUGAAUGUAGGGGUAAGUGUGGGGGAAUGAUAAAGUAUGUGUACUCCUUUAUGCAGAUGACGUAGUUGUUAUGAGUGAAUGGCAGAUGAGCUUCAAAGUUUGUUGGAUGUAGUGGAUGGCUAUGGUAAAGACUUUGGAGUAAGGUUUAGCAGUGAGAAAAGCAAAGUAAUGAUUGUGAAUAGGUCAGAGGAUGAAAGUAAUGUGAUAUGGAGACUUGGAGAGAAUGAGUUGAGACAGGUGCAGGAAUACAAGUACUCAGGGAUGUGGAUGAAUCCUAGUGGGUGUGCAAAGGCAAAGAAUGAAAAGAUAAAUAUGCUAAACCAGUGGGUAGGUCGACUGGGAAGCGCGGCAAGGAUGAGAGCAAGUAUGAUGUGUUGAGAGAAGUGUGGAAGAGUGUGGCUGUGCCAUGUAUAAUGUAUGGUAUGGAUGUGAUUGCAUGGAAGGAAAAUGAAAUUGAUAAGUUAGAAGUGGGCCAGAAUAGAGUAGCAAAGAUUGGCACUGAGUCCACCGAGGGGCACAGCAGUUGAAGCCUUGAGAGGUGACAUCGGAUGGCGCACCUUUAGGGAAAGACUCACAAAAGCCACACAAGAUUAGGCUUGAGAGAAUGGAUGAUGCAAGAAUAGCAAGGAAGGUGUACCUGUGGAAUGAAAGUGGAAGCAAAUGGAGGAAGAGAUGCAUGAGAAUGACAGACAGGAGUGGAUUACAAGUUGUGUGGGCGAUAAGAAUGGCUGGUAGGAAUCAAAAUGAGCGUGAAUGGGUGGUAACAAGAGGAGGAAGAGUGGGAGCCGAAUGGGAUGUGAGAAAAUGGAAGAAUGAGAUAGACAAAGAAGUGAAAUGUGUAGGACUGAAUGAAUGGAAGAAUGAGAUGGAAAGAAAGAAGACCCUGGAAUGGUACAAGGAGAAAGAGGCCCCGAGGUAUGAAAGGUGGUAUGAUGGAAGCCUGGGCGGUGAUCUUCUCUUCCUAGCGAGGGCACAGUGUAUGGAUGUGAAUGCGAGGAGUUACAGGUGGUCUGAGUCCCUGUGCCAGAUGUGUGACAUGGGAGAGGAUGAGACGGUGGAACAUGUGGUGCUGGAGUGUGUGCAGUAUGCCAGAGACAGGAAUGAGAUGAUGCAAGUGAUACUGACUGAGUUAGGGCAUGAUACGAAUGAAAGAGUGGAGAACACAGGAAAGGAGUGGAUGGUGUUGUUGCUGGGACUGUGUAGAGAGGCCAAUGAAAGGAUGAUUGAGGCGGUGAAAGAGUUUCUGGAGAGAAUGUGGCGUGCCAGGUGUAGGAACAAUUAGUAUAGAGGAUGCUGUUCGUUUCUCUCUUUUUUUUCCCCCUUCUACAGGAGUUGCCGAUUCAGAGGCCUGACACAAGAGUGAUCCUGUGCCACCUACACCAUCAAGAUCAAGAUCAAGACAACAGUUCCCUCGUGUUUACUACCACAGUGCAUAGAAAUCUUAUCUUUUUUCGCAAAUUUCUCAAGUAAUUCCCCACCCCGGAGGCCGCCCCCAGUACCCCAGUUCCCUGCAUCCAUGGUUGACCCGUGUGGCUCCUCUUUGGUGGUGAAAGCAAGUGACGGCAAGAUGGUGAUGGUGACCCUGCCCAACCCCCUCCAGGAAAACUUGGAGGGUGUGACUGAGGGAGGGGCAGGGUGUGGGUCAGGGGCAGAAGGUGACGUGCCAGAGUGACGUCACGUUCCCCCAAAUGCAGGCCGGCAAGUUUGCUGACGUCACCAGUCGUCAGUGCACGGCGGGUGCUGCAAGGGGAACUGCAGGAGGUGGACCUGUUCAGCACCUCAUCCCUCCCUGCCCUCUCCCCUGACAGGAGCAUGCCAGACCCAGGGGUGCCCAAGGAAACGACAAGGGGCACUACCUCUAUGCAGACAAAACCUAACCAACCAGCUUAACCUGAGUCGCCCCUGGAACCGCCCCACCACAGAGGAGGAGGAGGAGGAGGAGGAGGAGGAGGAGACAGUCAUGGAUGAAGGGACGUCACAGAUCAUGCACAUUUGCUUCCAUAUUGGGGACUUCCACGUGGAUAGAGGAUCAACCUGCCAACCAAGUCGCGGUGGAAACUGGCGUACAGCUGUGCCUGAGCCUGCCGUGGAUGCAUUCCCAGCCCCCGAACUGAACGGUCAACCUGCCGCCAAUCUCAACUUCAACCAGAACAGCUCGGACACGGCUGGCCAGGACAACCACCGCAACACAGACAUGCACGCACCUGAUAUGGACAUGAAAAUGGAGGGACAGGAGUCCCAUGUGAUGGUGUCCGACAGGGAUGCCUCAGUGCAGGAGGGGGAACGGCAGGCAGAGACCCGCAAGUGCCCCUGGGAGAAGCCUGGAGUUAACCGAGCCAAUGAAAGCAGAAUCAAACUUUCCAUUCCAGUCAACUGAACCUGUGAAAGUUCCCAAUCCGGCCAAGCAGGUCUCAGAAGGUGCGGCGUCCAUGCACCCCGUGAUGGUGCUGCACCAGAUGAAGCCUGGCCUGCUGUACAACACUAACCAGACCACCAGGGAUAACAAGCCUUUCUUCACCGUCACCGCCGACAUCGAUGGCAAGGAGUUCUCAGGCAAGGGGACAAAUGUGAAGAAAGCCAAGUUCUUCCUGGCCAACACAGCAAUACUGGGACUGUACGGGGUAGAAUCCACCUUUGAGAUCUCCGCUUAAUAGAAGUACUAGCUGCCUGGGUACUGGCGGCGGUGUGCGGGGCAGGCGGUCCCUCGCACACGUGGCUGUAGAGUCUGCUACGUGAUAAUGACAAAGUAGAUAGGUAGCUACAUAGUAUUUUAACCUGAAGUCCUGUCUGUGAGUGUUGUCUUGUAUGUUGCUGCUUGCUGAAGGCAGGGAAUGUACUGAACUGGACCUGAGUGGCUUACAAAACUCCUGUGGAAGGGAAGUGAUGGUCUGUGCUAAAUGUUGCAGUCUGACGAGUGACGUGGAAUUCAAUUUUUCCACGUGUAAAUUCUUCCAGUCCAGUGUUUACCUUUAUUUUGUUCCAGCUCUGUUACUUAGUGCCAGAGUUAGAAGACUGACAUUUAACGGAAUUCUUAUUUAUGAUUUUGACGUACUUUCUUUUCCCAUUUAUUUACUUAGCCCAUGAAGUGUGGGUGCUCCUUGUAAAUGGUCGGUGCUGAGCCUGCCAUGAAUGCAAAUCAAAUGCAGCUGAUUGUGAAAGACAGGCACAGGAGAAGGGGUCAGUCACUCAUUCCUGCUUGUGUCAGAUCACUCAUCUAGUGUUCUGCUGUGGAGUGGAGUGGGUGAUGAGAGGGCUGUGGUGAUGGGACAGUGACAGACAAGCCCUACUUACUGAAAACAAAAGUGUGCGAACUCAUCACAUCAACACUUAUUUAGCUUCCUGACAAAAAUGGCAUCCAGUUUCAGAUGUUUAAGGUAUUUAACUCAUCUAUUUAUUUAAAGGUACCCACUCUUUAUGGGUUAAAUGAAAGCUGUACUCUAGUUUAGCAGUCAGUCUCACCACUUGGUUUAAUGUGAGUAGGUAAGGAAGCCCUAGAACCUGGCCGUUGGUUAGGUUCUGGUGACUUCUGGCUGGAAUCUCAGUACCUUAAUUUCUCUUCUGGUUGAAACUUUCUCCUCAAACACAACUGGCUGGAGCUGAAUCCUGGGAUGGUCAGCUGUUUAAAUAUUACUACACAAAAUGUUAUGAGUUUGAAUACAUAAUGAAAAUUUCUUGAAUGUGUAUGUAUGUAAAGGUUAUAAAAGCAAGUAUUUUUUUCUUUUUCAAUUUUUGUAUAUAAUUGAGGUUAAGAUGAAUUUGAAACAUUGAUUGCAAUUUAUCAAGCUGGUGUUGGUUUUGGUUUUGAAGGAAGUGUAAGUGCAAGAGGUAUGAAUUUGAAACAUUGAUUGCAAUUUAUCAAGCUGGUGUUUUUGGUUUUGAAGGAAGUGUAAGUGCAAGAGGUAUGAAUUUGAAACAUUGAUUGCAAUUUAUCAAGCUGGUGUUGGUUUUGGUUUUGAAGGAACUGUAAUUGUGCAAGAGGUAAUCAUUUGAUGAGAGUGGAAUUAAUGAAGCAGUUUACCACACCAGUAUUGUCAUUCCUGCUCCCUGUGUGUCCACCUUACCUCUCACACCCUGACGUUUGCCUCAACGCCUUCAUUUAUCACCAAUGCAGUUAGGUAAAUUAUCACUUAUUACUAUUUUCUCAAAUGAAUUCAGAAACACUGUCAGCUUAUCAAAUAGUGUAUCUGUUAAUAUAACCUUUUGUAGGCAACUUGUCCUGUAACCACCUAUGACAUUUUAGGCUCAUUUUUGUACCAGCCUCUUCAACAGUUCUAUAGCUUAUGGAAAACUAAAUUAACUUCCUAUUCUCUCAUUUCCUCUGUCCAUACCAGCAGUUCUCAUAGUACUCUCAAUGUUGAAGGAUGAUAGCAGUCCAAGGGCAGAGCUAGUGAGUUUCUUUGAGUCUCCCCAAUAAUUGUUUUCUUUUGUAGCUUGCGGUGAAGAGGAGGAUAAUAGCGGUAAUUAAAGGUUUAGUGAUUAUAUGAAAAAAGUAUUUUUAUAAGGCGUGUAUUCGUGGGAGUGAUUUAAAAGUCUUGAAACAUUUAUUAUAAAUAGUCUUUACUUAUUUCAACUGUAGUUUUCUCUAAUCAAUGGUAAUACGAAUAAUAGAAUUACAUCAUGUUGCGUCAGCCUACCAGUAACUCAUAAGGUAUCAUACCCUAGCUUAUAAAAUAUGUUAGUAAUUUAGAAUUCAAUUAUUAACUUCAACUAAUGUCCAGCCUAUAUGCUCACCUUGCUAGCCAAUUAUUCCUGCAUUUUUAUUUAAACUCACGGUUCAGUAAAAUUAUUUGUGAAAGAAGAGAGAGAGAGAGAACUAGCUAAGGUUCCAAUAACUUCAGAUGCCUGUGGGUGUUGAGGGAGAGAGCACAAAAUGGCGUCUCCCUUCCCUCUGGCAACAGUGUUGCCACGGUGACGGUGGUGGUGGGCAUGACACAGAUGCGGGAGGUGGAGUUUGUGCCCGAUGGAGACAUGCAGGUGGACAAAUUGUGUUGGUCAUUGGUCAGACUGGAGUUUACAUGUGUACCUCCUUCACCAUCAUUGGUGGACACUUCACCUUGAGUGAUGCUUGAGCUGUCAUGGUGUUGCUGGUGCUGUGUGCCAUCAUCACCCUGACACAGACCACCCUGCAGACACCUUCAUCCUGGGUGUCACACGUCGCUGCUGCUACAACUCAGAGCAACAAGAGCGCAAGCCAGGAAGGGAAAUGUGUGCAGGUUUGCAGUAAACCUCCCUGAAGGUUCCAGAGCUGCUCAGCAAGUGUCCAGUCCAGGCUGUCACAAGACUGUGUGACAGUGGACCUUCCACUCAUACUGAAAACAGCUGUGCACUGCCACUCACAGGAAGUGGUGACCACUCUAGAUUGAGUUGCCUUGAAGCUGAGAUGAGUUGGUCAGCUAGUGAGUGGCUUCAAUCAAGUGACUGUGAGGUGUUGGCUUCAAUAAAGUGACUGUGAGGUGUUGCCUUCAAUCAAGUGACUGUGAGGUGUUGGCUUCAAUAAAGUGACUGUGAGGUGUUGCCUUCAAUCAAGUGACUGUGAGGUGUUGGCUUCAAUAAAGUGACUGUGAGGUGUUGCCUUCAAUCAAGUGACUGUGAGGUGUUGGCUUCAAUAAAGUGACUGUGAGGUGUUGCCUUCAAUCAAGUGACUGUGAGGUGUUGGCUUCAAUAAAGUGACUGUGAGGUGUUGCCUUCAAUCAAGUGACUGUGAGGUGUUGGCUUCAAUAAAGUGACUGUGAGGUGUUGCCUUCAAUCAAGUGACUGUGAGGUGUUGCCUUCAAUCAAGUGACUGUGAGGUGUUGGCUUCGAUCAAGUGACUGUGAGGUGUUGGCUUCGAUCAAGUGACUGUGAGGUGUUGGCUUCGAUCAAGUGACUGUGAGGUGUUGGGCAUGGUAUUGUGUUAUUGCAAGUGUAACCAUUAAUAAGUGGUACUGUGGAUAGCAAGCGGAAGAGGCCUUGGGAGACUUCCGUUAAUGAGGAGCAACAGUCACACCUCACUGGAGUCUUUCAGGAACCAACAGUCAGGGCCUGAUGUGAAGGUGUCUGCAGCCAGUGUUUGGUGUCCUCUGUGCCUGCCUGGUGGUGCCUCAUUGCAGGGCCUGAUGUGAAGGUGUCUGCAGCCAGUGGUGGUGCCUCAUUGCAGGGCUGAUGUGAAGGUGUCUGCAGCCAGUGGUGGGUGUCCUCUCUUCCUGGUGGUGCAGCCUGAUGUGUUGCCUGCUUCAGUGUAAAUCUUGCAAGCCAGAUCUGCCAGCUGUCUCCAGUGUAGUAGUCUAGGGUGCUUUGCUUUGUGUCUUUGGCAAUAAAUAAAUUUGUGAGCAUCAUUCUCAUGUGAAUUAUAUAGUUUGAUAAAAUUACGGAAUGUGCUUGGGUAAACUAAAUUUAUAUAUUGGUGGUAAACAAUUCAUGCAUCCCCAAGUAAAUAAAUAAAAAAAUAAAUAGGACCCAAAACAAUAGAUACAAUAUAGAUCAUCCUCUGGUCAAAAAAAAAGCCAGGAUUGGCCCAUUUUUGGCCAAGUUUAAAGUGAAACUUGCACACACAAGCCCUGUCCGAGCGACACCGGAGUCGCUCGGACAGGGCUUCUGUGUGCAAGUUUUACCUUAAACUUAGCCAAAAAUGGGCCAAUCCUGGCUUUUUUUUUUUGGACCAGAGGAUCAAUUGUUACUAGUAUUUUUUGCUUCCAUUUUUUUUUUUUUUUUUAUCAGGGCUAUGAACUGGUUACAUCAGAAAGCAGCUUAUUUGCAAUUUGUAAAAAGAUUUGUAUAUAAUUCCACAUAAUUCCACAAGUAUGAACAAGAUGAUUAAAUAUAUUUGUUUAAAUCACAUUGCCAAAGUUUCUGAGGCAUGAACUGUUACACCAGAAAGCUUGUUUAUUUGCAACUUGUUAGUAUAAUUCCCUAAGUAUGUACAAGAUAAUAAUAUAUAUAUUGUUUAAUCACAAAAGUUUAAUAAAUACACAAUAGGAUAAA